UACGUAGGGUGCGAGCGUUGUCCGGAAUUACUGGGCGUAAAGAGCUCGUAGGUGGUUUGUCGCGUUGUCCGUGAAAACUCACAACUCAAUUGUGGGCGUGCGGGCGAUACGGGCAGACUGGAGUACUGCAGGGGAGACUGGAAUUCCUGGUGUAGCGGUGGAAUGCGCAGAUAUCAGGAGGAACACCGAUGGCGAAGGCAGGUCUCUGGGCCGAUACUGACGCUGAGGAGCGAAAGCGUGGGGAGCGAACAGG
rnacentral:rRNA from 1 species